rnacentral:rRNA from 1 species
CCUACGGGUGGCAGCAGUGGGGAAUAUUGCUCAAUGGGGGAAACCCUGAUGCAGCAACGCCGCGUGGAGGAUGAAGGUUUUAGGAUUGUAAACUCCUUUUGUUAGAGAAGAUUAUGACGGUAUCUCACGAAUAAGCAGCGGCUAACUCCGUGGCAGCAGCCGCGGUAAUACGGCGGGUGCAAGCGUUACUCGGAAUCACUGGGGGGAAAGAGUGCGUAGGCGGGGUAAUAAGGAAGAUGGGAAAUCCUGUAGCCUAACUACAGCACUGCAUUUGAAACUGUUACUCUGGAGGGUGGGAGAGGUAGGUGGGAUUCUUGGGGGAGGGGUAAAAUCGGUAGAGUGCAAGAGGAAUACUCAGUGCGAAGGCGACCUGCUGGAACAUUACUGACGCUGAUGCACGAAAGCGUGGGGAGCAAACAGGAAUAGAUACCCCAGUAGUC